rnacentral:tRNA from 1 species
GGUGGCAUAGCCAAGCAGGUUAAGGCAAAGGUCUGCAAAACCUUGAUUCCCCAGUUCGAAUCCGGGUGUCACCU